AGAGACCAAAACCACCAGACCUUCACAUCUCUUGUAGUAAGUUGAUCAUCUUCAGUCGCAAUCAUGAGGUUCCUUCUUGUGCUCAGUAUUGUGGUGUUAGUUGUUGCGAUGGAGACAGAUGCUAGUAGAAGUUCUUAUAACAGAAGGUUCAUCCGAAGGAUAGUUAAACGGCUUAUUAGACAGUACUGUACAUGCCCACAAGUUGAUAAUUGCAACCCUGACCCAUGCAACGGCAAUGGAGAGUGUACGUCUCUCAGUGGUACCGACUUUUCUUGUGACUGUAAUCCCGAUUUUACAGGAGAUGAUUGUGCUACAGCCACAGAAACACCAAAGAAUUGUGAAGUUGUAAUGGGCCUGUGUCGACCUAUGGUGUUUGGGGAAUGUCCCGCCGGGGUUAUAAACAACGGUAUCUGUGAAACUGGGUCCCAGUGUUGUUCAGUAGCAUAAGGUUGUUUACCUACACUGUGAAGCUAAAUUAAAAACAAAUAACGCCUGUU